GACGGAAGGUGCAAGCGUUGUUCGGAUUUACUGGGCGUAAAGGGCGCGUAGGCGGCUUGUCAAGUCACUUGUGAAAUCUCUGGGCUUAACCCAGAACGGCCAAGUGAAACUGACAUGCUAGAGUGCAGAAGGGGCAAUCGGAAUUCUUGGUGUAGCGGUGAAAUGCGUAGAUAUCAAGAGGAACACCUGAGGUGAAGACGGGUUGCUGGGCUGACACUGACGCUGAGGCGCGAAAGCCAGGGGAGCAAACGGG
rnacentral:rRNA from 1 species